rnacentral:lncRNA from 1 species
UGGCAAAUCGCGACAACGGACGUCGCUCCACUCCCCACAAUAGACUCCACGUGGCAUGUCCCGGUGAUGGCCACGAUUCCACUCCACUACUCUUCACAACAAACUCCUCCUGACCCCGAGCAGCCCACUGCCAGAUGGUUACAAACAUCGCUAUCAGUCUGUUGCACCCUCCGUCUAUAAAAGGGGGGCUCCAUAUACAUUAUUCUCUAAGCUCUAAUUUUUAUCCCGAAACUCUGCUAAAAUUUUCGUUCGAGCACUCCAUUCUUGUUGAGAUAGAGAACUGACUUGAGCAUCGGAGGGUCUUGCCGGAGUACCCC